rnacentral:rRNA from 1 species
UUUUCCUACGGGGGGCAGCAGUGAGGAAUAUUGGUCAAUGGGCGGAAGCCUGAACCAGCCAAGUCGCGUGAGGGAAUAAGGCCCUACGGGUUGUAAACCUCUUUUGUCGGGGAGCAAAGAGAGUCACGUGUGACUCAUUGAGAGUACCCGAAGAAAAAGCAUCGGCUAACUCCGUGCCAGCAGCCGCGGUAAUACGGAGGAUGCGAGCGUUAUCCGGAUUUAUUGGGGUUAAAGGGUGCGCAGGCGGAGGUGCAAGUCAGCGGUCAAAUUGCGGGGCUCAACCCCGUACUGCCGUUGAAACUGCA